UACGUAGGGUGCGAGCGUUAAUCGGAAUUACUGGGCGUAAAGCGUGCGCAGGCGGUUCUCCAAGGCCGUUGUGAAAGCCCCGGGCUCAACCUGGGAAUGGCAGUGGAAACUAGGGGACUGGAAUCUGGCAGAGGGGGGUGGAAUGCCGCGUGUAGCAGUGAAGUGCGUAGAGAUGCGGCGGAACACCGAUGGCGAAGGCAGCCCCCUGGGCUGACACUGACGCUCAGGCACGAAAGCGUGGGGAGCAAACAGG
rnacentral:rRNA from 1 species